rnacentral:lncRNA from 1 species
UCCUCAAAAAAUCUGCUGCUGAUUGGAGAUUCUCCACCACGGAUGGGACAAAAGAUGACAGUUUUGAGGGGCCUGCUUGAAAAACUAUCAGAGGAAGACAUCUGACGGGUAUCACCUGCUCUAGGGAUUUUUCAGUUUUGGACACCACCACUGGAACUCCCUCGAGGUAACCAGCCACGUCCUCUGCUUGUGUCACCGC